GAUGAAGAACGCAGCGAAAUGCGAUAAGUAGUGCGAAUUGCAGAAUUCAGUGAAUCAUCGAAUCUUUGAACGCACAUUGCGCCCCUUGGUAUCCCGAGGGGCAUGCCUGUUCGAGCGUCAUUUCACCACUCAAGCCUGGCUUGGUGUUGGGCGACGUCCCCUUUAGGGACGCGCCUCGAAACGCUCGGCGGCGUGGCACCGGCUUUAAGCGUAGCAGAAUCUUUCGCUUUGGAAGUCGGGGCCCCGCCUGCCGGAAUACCUACUCGUAAGGUUGACCUCGGAUCAGGCAGGGAUACCCGCUGAACUUAAGCAUAUCAAUAAGCGGAGGA
rnacentral:misc_RNA from 1 species